rnacentral:lncRNA from 1 species
UCUUAUGGUCUUUCAAUCUUCAAUUCUAUGAUCCUUUGCAUAAGAAUAUUAGAUUUGAAGCUUGAAAAUGUACAUAAAAAUGGACAAAAAGGACCAAAUUGAAAUGAAAAAAAGAUAAAGGACCAAAUUGUUAUCUGAAAUUAAGUUAAGGGACGAAAAGUGUAAUUUUUCCAAAAAUAAAAUAUUUUGAAGAAAGUUGAUGAAUAUUUAAAGCUUGGUUGUUGUUGAAAAGUUGAUGAAUGUGAUUUUGUAUGUAGAAGAUUAUUAUAAGAUUUUUUAUUUUAUUUUUAAGAAGAUAUUAGUGGGUAGUUUUUUAUUAGUAGAGAUCGAAUUCUAGACCUUUACAUACUCCUUUCACGUUCCAACUCAUACAACUGAGUUACGCAUUCGGGACGAUUAUUUACGGUUUGUAACCAUAGUGAUGAUAAGAUAUAUGCAAGAUUAUUGUUCAACACAUCUAAUCUUCCUUUAUGGAUCUGGAUUUUGCAACCCUUUUAAUCUUUAAUAAAAAAAUUAAUAUAAACUAUUUAUAUGUUUUUCAGGUGUAGCAGCAUGGAAAAUCACAUAACACUUGAAAUCACAGAACAAGCUUCUCCAGAAAUUCCAUCACUAAUUAAGUAUAUAUCAACAAAUGAACUUGAUGGUUUUGAUGCAUUUGAAUCUCAAUUUCCCAGCCCAACUUCCAAAGUAAGGCUCUUUCUUAAGUAGAUUUUAUUGCUUAUGACAGAUUUUAGAGUCUUUUACAUUUGGAGACUGUCUUCAGCUUAUUUCUAUAAGUUUCCAGAAUGGCUUAUGAAAAAAGUUUGCAACUUAUUAAAUUAUGGGUUAAUAGUGAUUUAUCCCCUUGUAAUAUAGGCCAUUUUCGGGAUUGCACCUUAUAAAAAAAUAAUUGGAUUUGUUCCUUGUAGAAUAAUUUUUUUUUUUUGGUUUUCAACCUUCAUGGUAAAUUUCACACCCUGUAAUUUAAGAAAAUUUCAGUUUACCCCCUGUAAUAUGAGCAAAUUUCUGGGGAAAACACUAUUAACCCUUAAAAAAUUAUUUGACUUUAUUUUAUUAGUCAUUAUAGAAAUAAGCUCAGUUUUGUACCCAAAAAAAAAAAGAAAAAAAGAAAUAAGGUCAAUUUGGAUUGGUUUAUUUUAGCUUAUCUACUAACGUAAGCAUUUAUGUUUCGCACCCACUUGGAUUGAUCUGGUGGUAGUGUUGGUUUGAGACCUUAAAAUGUACUCCUUUUAAGUUCUCAAAUUCGAUUCUAUUUGAUGCCUACAAAAACACUUGUGUUCUGUAAAGUUUAUGAAAACAACUUAUGUCAAGUCCAUAAGCUCUUCAAAAUAUCUUACGAAUACAAUUUACGAAAAGUCCAUAACUUGUUUCCAGCUGUUUUUUCCAUGAAAUAUUUGGAAUAGUUAACGAAAACAACUUAUAGCUUGUACGAAAAUAACUAUGACAUGUCCAUAAGUUGACUUCAGGACUUAUUUCCAUAAGAUCUUUGUAAUAGUUUAACUAAAAACAACUUAUAACUUACAUGAAAAUAAUUUAACUUUAUUUUAUCUUUUCUUUUAAAAAUAGCUUAUAUUAAAAUUACAAACAUUGACACCACACACGACACAAACAAAGAAACAUUGACACCGAUAAUAAUUUUAGAAACGUCAUAAUUCAAUGUAAUCACAUGUGUUGGUCGUAUCGUUUCAGUAUCAAAUGUGAUACAUAUCCUAUUGGGACACGUCUAACCAGAGGACUAUCUGUGCUUAACUCUUUAUCCAAAGUCCAAACAACACUUUAUGACAUAACUAAAAUCUAACUUUUUUCAUGUUUGUUCAAUAGGAAACUGAGGAAGCAUCACCUACAAGCCAACAAGAUGAACCAUUAGUCAUCAAUCAUCAAAGAAAGCCUUCAAUUUCUAUAAGCAUGCCACUUUGUUAUGAAGAAACUCAACUUCAACCACAAAAUAACAACAACAAUGACAAGAAAGUUUUCUUUAGUGGAGAAACUGUUAUUAUCAAAGAUGAUUUUCCAUCUGGAAUUGCAAUGUCUGAGCCUCCAAGACAAUCAAAAUUUAAGUCUCAACCAAUGCCAAAAGGAGUUCCUUACCAAGAUGGUUCUCAAACUCAAAAGGCUAAUCAUAAUCAUAAUCAACCUGGAAUCAAGAUGUUUAGAGAUAAGACAUUCGACUCGUUUAAAACUUGGUCUGGUGGACUCGAGAGACAAUUAUCGAUUCUACGUGGAAAAGAACCGAUAGGAAAUACACAAGAUGGUAACAACACUCCAAGAAGCUUUGAUAGGCCUUUACCUGUUGAUAGGUAUUUUGAUGCAUUGGAAGGUCCAGAAUUAGAAACUCUUAAGUCAUCAGAAGAGAUAAUGCUACCUCAUGACAAACAAUGGCCGUUUCUUCUCCGGUUCCCCGUUUCAUCAUUCGGUAUAUGCCUCGGAGUUAGCAGCCAAGCAAUUCUUUGGAAAACCCUAGCCACAUCACCUUCGACUGAGUUUCUUCACAUAAGUCCCAAAAUAAACUUAAUCUUAUGGUACAUCUCCACAAUACUUAUAGCUACUGUUUUCGCUGUCUAUAUUCUCAAACUCCUUCUCUACUUUGAAGCAGUUCGUCGUGAGUACUACCAUCCGAUCCGUGUUAACUUCUUCUUUGCACCAUGGAUAGCUCUCUUGUUUUUAGCACUCGGAGUUCCUCCAUCCGUUACCAAAAACCUACAUCAAUCACUAUGGUACAUUCUAAUGGUACCGAUAUUUUUUCUCGAGCUUAAGAUUUACGGACAAUGGAUGUCCGGUGGACAAAGACGGCUUUCAAAGGUGGCAAACCCUUCGAAUCAUUUAUCGAUUGUUGGAAAUUUUGUCGGAGCAUUACUCGGUGCAUCAAUGGGACUAGUAGAAGGACCUAUCUUCUUCUUUGCUGUUGGACUUGCUCAUUACAUUGUGUUAUUUGUGACACUUUAUCAAAGACUUCCAACAAAUGAGACACUACCUAAAGAGCUACAUCCAGUGUUCUUUCUCUUUGUUGCAGCACCAAGUGUUGCUUCAAUGGCUUGGGCUAAGAUGCAAGGUUCCUUUGAUUAUGGAUCAAG